GCCAAGGUAGCUUAGUGGUAGAACAUUCGCCUGGCUACUGAAAGAUUGCAGGUUCGAAUCCCGUCUCUGUAUU